AACGAACGCUGGCGGCAGGCCUAACACAUGCAAGUCGAACGCCGUAGCAAUACGGAGUGGCAGACGGGUGAGUAACACGUGGGAACGUACCCUUCGGUUCGGGAUAACUCAGGGAAACUUGAGCUAAUACCGGAUACGUCCGAGAGGAGAAAGAUUUAUUGCCGAGGGAUCGGCCCGCGUCUGAUUAGCUUGUUGGUGAGGUAACGGCUCACCAAGGCGACGAUCAGUAGCUGGUCNGAGAGGAUGAUCAGCCACAUUGGGACUGAGACACGGCCCAAACUCCUACGGGUGGCAGCAGUCGAGAAUUUUUCAC
rnacentral:rRNA from 1 species